rnacentral:rRNA from 1 species
GUUUGAUCAUGGCUCAGAUUGAACGCUGGUGGCAGGCCUAACACAUGCAAGUCGAGCGGCAUCGAGUGAUCGCAGUUUACUGAGUUCAUGUCGGCGAGCGGCGGACGGGUGAGUAAAGUCUGGGAAUCUGGCCGAAGGAGGGGGAUAACUGCUGGAAACGGCAGCUAAUACCGCAUGAAGUCGCGAGACCAAAGUGGGGGACCUUCGGGCCUCACGCCUUCGGAUGAGCCCAGAUGAGAUUAGCUGGUAGGUAAGGUAAAGGCUUACCUAGGCGACGAUCUCUAGCGGGUCUGAGAGGAUAGCCCGCCACACUGGAACUGAGACACGGUCCAGACUCCUACGGGAGGCAGCAGUGGGGAAUAUUGCACAAUGGGCGAAAGCCUGAUGCAGCCAUGCCACGUGUGU